rnacentral:rRNA from 1 species
CCUACGGGUGGCAGCAGUAAGGAAUAUUGGUCAAUGGACGCAAGUCUGAACCAGCCAUGCCGCGUGAAGGAUGACGGCCCUCUGGGUUGUAAACUUCUUUUAUCUGGGACGAAAAAAGGGCUUUCUAGCUCGACUGACGGUACCAGAGGAAUAAGCACCGGCUAACUCCGUGCCAGCAGCCGCGGUAAUACGGAGGGUGCAAGCGUUAUCCGGAUUUACUGGGUUUAAAGGGUGCGUAGGUGGGUCUGUAAGUCAGUGGUGAAAUCUCCGAGCUUAACUCGGAAACUGCCAUUGAUACUAUAGAUCUUGAAUUAUCUGGAGGUAAGCGGAAUAUGUCAUGUAGCGGUGAAAUGCUUAGAUAUGACAUAGAACACCAAUUGCGAAGGCAGCUUACUACGGAUCGAUUGACACUGAGGCACGAAAGCGUGGGGAUCAAACAGGAUUAGAUACCCGAGUAGUC